rnacentral:rRNA from 1 species
GGAGGGUGCAAGCGUUGUUCGGAAUUAUUGGGCGUAAAGCGCGUGUAGGUGGUCGAGUAAGUCGGAUGUGAAAGCCCUGGGCUUAACCUGGGAAUUGCAUUCGAUACUGCUUGGCUAGAGUCUGAUAGAGGGAAGUGGAAUUCCAGGUGUAGCGGUGAAAUGCGUAGAUAUCUGGAGGAACAUCAGUGGCGAAGGCGGCUUCCUGGAUCAAGACUGACACUGAGGCUCGAAAGCGUGGGGAGCAAACAGGAUUAGAUACCCUGGUAGUCCACGCCCUAAACUAUGUCAACUAGACGUUGGGUUCUUUAAUGAACUUAGUGUCGAAGCUAACGCGUUAAGUUGACCGCCUGGGGAGUACGGCCGCAAGGUUG